rnacentral:lncRNA from 1 species
AUUACCUCCUGCGUCUAUUGCAAUAACGGAGUUUAGAUAAUAUGAUGGGAACUAAAAAACGGAAUACAUUGAGACAACCAAAUAUUCUUUUCGUAUUCACAGGAACGAACGACGAUCGUGUGACACGUCACACAUUCUAAGUUCUCCAAUCUCGUCUAUUUCUUACAAACAUUUGAUUUUAUGAACUCAUUUGAAAUACCAUGCUUAAAAUUUGAUAAUGCAUACGCGCGUGGUGCUUGCGUAAAAAUAUCCAAUGGCCAUCGAAAUAGAAGAUCAAAUCAUAUUCAAAGGUAAGGAAAAUUACAAACCUACGAAACGGAU